rnacentral:rRNA from 2 species
UGAACCGUUAUAACCGGCGAUACCCGAAUGGGGAAACCCAGUGUGACUCGUCACACUAUCAUUAACUGAAUCCAUAGGUUAAUGAGGCGAACCGGGGGAACUGAAACAUCUAAGUACCCCGAGGAAAAGAAAUCAACCGAGAUUCCCCCAGUAGCGGCGAGCGAACGGGGAGGAGCCCAGAGCCUGAAUCAGCAUGUGUGUUAGUGGAAGCGUCUGGAAAGGCGCGCGAUACAGGGUGACAGCCCCGUACACAAAAGCGCAUGUGCUGUGAGCUCGAUGAGUAGGGCGGGACACGUGGUAUCCUGUCUGAAUAUGGGGGGACCAUCCUCCAAGGCUAAAUACUCCUGACUGACCGAUAGUGAACCAGUACCGUGAGGGAAAGGCGAAAAGAACCCCGGCGAGGGGAGUGAAAAAGAACCUGAAACCGUGUACGUACAAGCAGUGGGAGCACCCUUUGGGUGUGACUGCGUACCUUUUGUAUAAUGGGUCAGCGACUUAUAUUCUGUAGCAAGGUUAACCGAAUAGGGGAGCCGGAGGGAAACCGAGUCUUAAC